rnacentral:misc_RNA from 1 species
GAUGAAGAACGCAGUGAAAUGCGAUAAGUAAUGUGAAUUGCAGAAUUCAGUGAAUCAUCGAAUCUUUGAACGCACCUUGCGCCCUUUGGCUAUUCCGAAGGGCAUGCCUGUUUGAGUAUCAUGAACACCUCAACUCUCAUGGUUUGCCAUGAUGAGCUUGGACUUUGGGGGUCUUGCCGGCCUAUGGGUCGGCUCCUCUCAAAUUAAUCAGCUUGCCAGUGUUUGGUGGCAUCACAGGUGUGAUAACUAUCUACGCUUGUGGUUUUCCAUCAGGUAACCUUCAGUGAUGGAGGUUCGCUGGGGCUCAUAAAUGUCUCUCCUCAGUGAGGACAGCUUUUUUGAACGUUUGAUCUCAAAUCAGGUAGGACUACCCGCUGAACUUAAGCAUAUCAAUAAGCGGAGGA